CGCCUUUUGAAAAAAUAGAAGGUCUAACCUGCCCACUGAAAAUUUUUAAAGGGCCGCGGUAUUUUGACCGUGCAAAGGUAGCAUAAUCAUUAGUCUUCUAAUUAAAGGCUGGAAUGAAUGGUUGGACGAGGUACUAUCUGUCUCACUAAGAUAGAUUUGAAUUUAGCUUUUCAGUCAAAAGGCUGAAAUGGCGUUGGAGGACGAGAAGACCCUAUAGAGCUUUACAUUAGACCUUUUUAAUUUGUUUGGAAAGUUUUUAAUUUUAGGGGAAAGGUGUUUCGUUGGGGUGACGGGAAGAUAUAAUUAACUCUUUUUAAUUAUUAACAUUGAUGUAUGAAUAUUUGAUCCAUAAGUAAUGAUUAAAAGACUAAGUUACCUUAGGGAUAACAGCGUAAUCUUUUUUGAGAGUUCUAAUCGACAAGAAGGGUUGCGACCUCGAUGUUGGACUAAGGGUUAUUUUUGGGUGUAGCAGCUCAAAGUUUAGGUCUGUUCGACCUUUGAACCCUUACAU
rnacentral:rRNA from 1 species